rnacentral:rRNA from 2 species
UACGUAGGGUGCGAGCGUUAAUCGGAAUUACUGGGCGUAAAGUGUGCGCAGGCGGCCGAGCAAGUCGAGUGUGAAAGCCCCGAGCUUAACUUGGGAAUUGCGCUCGAAACUACUUGGCUGGAGUGUGGCAGAGGAAGGUGGAAUUCCAGGUGUAGCGGUGAAAUGCGUAGAGAUCUGGAGGAACACCGAUGGCGAAGGCAGCCUUCUGGGCCAACACUGACGCUCAUGCACGAAAGCGUGGGGAGCAAACAGG